rnacentral:rRNA from 1 species
GACGAACGCUGGCGGCGUGCUUAACACAUGCAAGUCGAACGCAAAGGCCCUGCUUUUGUUGUGUUCUCGAGUGGCGAACAGGUGUGUAAAACGUGAAUGACCUGCCCUUGACAUUGGGAUAACUUCAGGGAAAUGGGGCUAAUACACGAUAUGAGCUCCUGCUGCAUGGUUGGUGUUGGAAAGUUUCGGCGGUUGGGGAUGGACUCGCGGAUUAGCAGCGUGUUGGUGGGGUAGUGGCUUACCAGGGCUUCGACGGGUAGCCGGCCUGAGAGGGUGACCGGCCACAUUGUGACUGAGAAACGGCCCAGACUCCUACGGGAGGCAGCAGUGGGGAAUAGUGCAAAAUGGGCGGAAGCAGUAUGCAGCAACGCCGCGUGCUGGAUGACUGCCUUCGGGUUGGAACCCGCGUGCGCCUGUAAAGAACAGUGAGUGACGGUAAUGUGUAAAGAAGCACCGGCUAACUACGUG